rnacentral:rRNA from 1 species
CACGUAGGGCGCAAGCGUUGUCCGGAAUUAUUGGGCGUAAAGAGCUCGUAGGCGGUCUGUUACGUCUGCUGUGAAAACCCGGGGCUUAACCCUGGGCUUGCGGUCGAUACGGGCAUGACUGGAGUUCGGCAGGGGAGACUGGAAUUCCCGGUGUAGCGGUGAAAUGCGCAGAUAUCGGGAAGAACACCCGUGGCGAAGGCGGUUCUCUGGGACGGUACUGACGCUGAGACGCGAAAGCGUGGGGAGCGAACAGG